rnacentral:lncRNA from 12 species
AUGUUCCUGUCCCACGGCGAGCGGUUCGACGCUGCUUGGGCCCGGGUGCUGGAUGCUUUCGGUCUUUACAGAUCAGUCAGCAAGAAGGAUUCCCUCUGCGUCAGGGUCUCCAAAGCCAUCCCCAGUCCUGAUGACUCGCUAGGAGGACUGAGCACACAGGCUAUCAGAGCGAUGAUUACAGCUGAAGGAUGCAGAGCAAGGGAACAGGUGCGUGGGGCACAGGCCAUAAGAAACUGCGCUCAAGCGUCCAAGGCUUGAGGCCCAGGGGAGGCCCAGGCGUGCGUACCCCCCAGCAGUGAGCCGAGGCAACAGGUGCGUGUGGUCCACCAAGGAAGGUGCACACAGACUCAGCGUUCAGAGUGUUUAUGGGGGGAAACCACAUGAGCACCCCCCCACCCAGCACACACCAAAAUUCCACAUUCUCCAAAGGAGAACAAGCGUUGAACAUAAACCAUACGUUUCGCACAAACAGUUCAGGCACAGGGAGCCUCUGUCCUAAGAGUGGCGGGAACACUACCCGAAUGCAAGUUCCCAGGUGCCACCCGGCAAGCAGGCCUCCCAGAGCUUAGCGGGCUCAACCUGCUGCUUUUAAAUGGACUCUGCACGUCGGCGAAUUGUCAGGCUGGGGAGGCCUCUAUUUUUCUAUCAUCUGGAGUUAAAUUGUAUCCGUCGUAGGCAGACCUCUAAAACUGUUUUCUGAGAUUGAUUCAAUCCAACAUUAACCUAGGUGCUGCUGUGAAGGACUCCACAGAUCAAGGAUUCGAAAGCAGGGAGCGUGACCGGGAUUUUCUAAGUGACCCGAUCUAAUGACAUAAAUCCUCUUUUUUUCUCUAUAUUUUUUUAUUUGAGUUCAAU